rfam:Mustela putorius furo unplaced genomic scaffold scaffold00062, whole genome shotgun sequence.
AGCUUUGCGCAGUGGUAAUAUUGUAGCCAAUAAGGUUUAUCUGAGGCACAAUUAUUGCUAAUUAAAGAGCAUAUGCCUUCAUUCUGGCAUACAGUUAAGUUACUGCAGUCAUUUUAAUCACUUGUGAGCCUUGACAGGC